CCUACGGGUGGCAGCAGUGGGGAAUAUUGCACAAUGGGGGAAACCCUGAUGCAGCGACGCCGCGUGAGUGAAGAAGGAAUUCGGAAUGUAAAGCUCUAUCAGCAGGGACGAAAAUGACGGUACCUGCGUAAGAAGCCCCGGCUAACUACGAGCCAGCAGCCGCGGUAAUACGUAGGGGGCAAGCGUUAUCCGGAUUUACUGGGUGUAAAGGGAGCGUAGACGGCAGUGCAAGUCUGGAGUGAAAGGCCGGGGCUCAACCCCCGGACUGCACUUGAAACUGUACGGCUGGAGUGCAGGAGAGGUAAGUGGAAUUCCUAGUGUAGCGGUGAAAUGCGUAGAUAUUAGGAGGAACACCAGUGGCGAAGGCGGCUUACUGGACUGUAACUGACGUUGAGGCUCGAAAGCGUGGGGAGCAAACAGGAUUAGAUACCCGUGUAGUC
rnacentral:rRNA from 1 species